rnacentral:sRNA from 2 species
CUCUCUCUUUUCAACUUGCUAAGGCCGCAUCCGUUGGUUGGUCCCACAUAAAAUUCAUCAGAUACUACGAAAGCUCGUAUAUAUAGAAGUCGUGAUUGGGUUUUUCUUCUUAUCUCCGUGACUCUGUCGAUCGUUUUUCUUUUCUUUCGAUUCAUCUAUAUCAUCUACCAAUCUUUCUCUCUGUUCGAAUUAUCUUUCUGGGCUAAGGAUCCCCCAAUAAAUCGAAGCUAGCUGAGUGAGUGGGUGAGUUAGUGAGUGCUCCCCCGAGCCCAUAAAGAAGUUAUUUCCGAGCCCCAAAUUAUUGUCAAUAUCUCCCUCCAAAUCUGGAAUCUGGAAUACAACCUGGAUCGAGGGGUGGGAUGAUACGAGGUCACAUCCAUUCCGCGCUGUCUAUGGAAAGAAGAAAGGGAGUAAAAGCUCGACCUUUGUAACAAGGUAAGUUUCUUCUUCUUUUUUUUUUUUUUUAAAAAAAGUAAAUUAUACAAUCAAUUACAGUCGGUGAAAUGAUGACAGUAUAUAAAAACGGGAACCUGUUUAUCCGUAACCAACCCGUACCCAUCCCAUAAAAUGAGACACAGGACUCCAUCAGGAAAAAGACAAAGCCUUCCAAAAACCGACGCCCAAAUAAAUUUAGACCCCACAUUCCCAGAAAAGAGAAAACAAAAGAAAAAAGGGAAAGUAAAAUCACCCCAAGAACCAGACAGAAGGUACAAAAGGAUCGCUCGCUGAAUCGCGGGACAAAAUCAGCUAUGGUCGAGUCAAAAUAUGUGAGCAGCGCCUUUGAAGAUUCGGAAAACCGUAUAGACAGGAAGACAAUGCAUUCACGAUUAAUCGCCGAAACUAAACACCUUCCUGAUGAGAAGAAGUUGACUCUGGCCGGGAACCAAGCCACCCGCCUCGCUGAUACGCACUUGAUGAUCGUGUCUCCUUGAGGGGCACGCGUGGCAUUGACUGCUGCCGUGUGGCUACGGAAAAGGUGCUCAUAUUGGAUCCACGACGUCUCAACCGUCUGUUGGCGUCCAUUGAUUCCUUCCGGUUGAGGGAUUCGGAUGGUAGCAGAAUAGCACGAUCGAGUUCGUAUGGCAAACCACGAUGGCGGCCACGGAUUUCCAUGGCGAUGAUAAUGAGUUUCGAUAAGGGCCUGAAGUGCCCGCAGAGCGCGGUGUUGGAGUUCGGGAACCCAAGUGACAGGCCCACGGUUCCGUAGGCGGAGACAAUUUCGAACAUGACCGCGAACAUGGAGAAAGAAUUUUCGCCCUUUUGGUCAAGCCUGUUGACUUCGAUGAUGGAGAUGAGGAACAACCCAAGGAAAAUAUACCAUAAAUCGAAGCUUAGUUGUUUUCGUAGAUGGGCCCCGAUAUAACUGACAUGCUUCGAGCCCAGCGUUUCAUCUUCAUCGUCAUCAGGGUAGGAAUAUAUCCCCAAACUGCCCUCCUCGUAAACGUUUGUCCGACGGACCGAAAUGGCAACAGGGAACACGGAAAUAUACAUCAUAAUCAAAAAGAAUACCUGAACAGCAGGAUGAAUAUUUGCCAGAUUGACGACCGCUAAACCAGCCGUCCGCGUCGAUGCUGCUUGGAAAAAACCAUCCACAAAGCGUAUCCCAAUCGGAAUCCUAUUGAUUUCCGGGUUAUUCAACUAAUAGAGCAAGUUAGCAGGUGGCUAGCAGGUGGCAAGGAAAGACGCGCUCAUGGACAAGGGCACCUACAUCUAAAAUAAUGAAGAAGAUCAGUUGUAGACCAUUCAGAACAACAAGAACUCCAAAUAGCCACCACGUAGCCGCGCCAGGAAACAUAAGGGUAAAACAUCUUCGUGGGUGGUCUAGCAAGAACCGCAAUUCUUCCCACGCAGGGCUGCCGAAGGGAACGAGGUGAGAAAGCAUCCAGAUCGUAAAUCGCAGCAUGCAAGGAAAUGCGGUAUUUCCAACGAGAAUAAGGAAACUCAGCAAAAGAAGUGGAAAUAUUGCAUCGUAGAACGACAUCAUCGAGUCAGGGGUGAGAGCGAAUCCUUGAUCGUUGAAGGCGGAAGCAGAGGUGAAAACAGCCCACCACGGACGGCCUAACCCUGCUUCUUUGACAAUGUUACCGAAUCUUUCUGUUUUCAGAAUCCAUGGCACCAAAGAUACAAUGCCUAGGAGAUGGAAGAAGAAGAAAUAGCCAAUCAGCACCACCACUAGUAAUUUCAAGGCUCUGUAUUCAAUACCCCCUAGCUCGUUCCUCUGAGCCUCUGUAAGGUCGACAAACGCAGAAUUUCGGCCGAUUGUCGG